CAGCAGCCACGGUAAUACGUAGGUGGCAAGCGUUGUCCGGAAUUAUUGGGCGUAAAGGGCUCGCAGGCGGUUUCUUAAGUCUGAUGUGAAAGCCCCCGGCUCAACCGGGGAGGGUCAUUGGAAACUGGGAAACUUGAGUGCAGAAGAGGAGAGUGGAAUUCCACGUGUAGCGGUGAAAUGCGUAGAGAUGUGGAGGAACACCAGUGGCGAGGGCGACUCUCUGGUCUGUAGCUGACGCUGAGGAGCGAAAGCGUGGGGAGCGAACAGGAUUAGAGACCCCGGUAGUCCCUGUCUCUUAUAC
rnacentral:rRNA from 1 species